CAACAAAAACCCCAGAGGAUUCUGUCUACAGAUGAAUUUUAGACCAAUUUUAGAAGAUACAGCAUAUAAACAUAGAACUCCGCCCUGCAUAAUAAUAGUUAAAUUAGCAAGGGAGGUUCCAAAUUAAUGGUGCAAAAGGGUACAGUGUACGAAACAAAGAACAAUGAUCUCAAUGCUUAUAUAUUGUUUUCCUCACAGCGGAUAAUCAUUGUACACAACAAUUAAGUGAAAAACAGAGAUAUUCUCUUGGAAAAGCUAGUACUUUUGGAGCAAAAACCAAGAUUUUCAUCCUCAUGUGGAUCACUUAGCUUCAGAGGAAGAAGAUUCCUAAGACAAACCAAGAAAAACAAAUUUCAUGAGAACAACAAAGGAAAAGAGCCAGGAAGUAAAAUACGAAAAGUAA